CCCAAUUCUUCGGCUCCCGAGAACCUUCCUCAGACUCUGCUGGGUGUUUUCACCACCAGCCUGCUGCUUUAGGAUGCAGUGCAGUGUGUGGAAUUCGUCUAGACCUGUGCUGUCCAAUGCUGUAGCAAUUUAGCCUUUGGAAGGUGGCAGGUCCAAUCCAGGUGUGUUGUAAGUAUAAAAUACACACCCGAUUUCAACGAAGACCUGGUACCAGAUAAAAUGUCAAAUAUCUCCUUGACAACUUUUAUAGGGAUUACGUGUUGAAAUUCUACAAUUUGGGAUAUACUGGGUUAGACGAAAUAUAUUAUUAGAAUUCAUCUCCCUGGUUUAUGGUUUUUUUUGGUUUGUUUUUUGUUUUGGGGUUUUUUUUUUUUUAGCGUGGCUACUAGAAAAUUUUAAAAUGACAUGCGCGCUCCGUUUUUGUGGCCUGCACUGUAUUUCUGUUGGUCUGUCGGUGCAGACCGAGGGCCGAGCAGCCUUGGGCAGAGGCUGAGGGGAAGGCGGAAGUCCAGUUCCGAACAAUAAACCGAGCUGGGCGGGUUCGGGGCUGACGUGACCCCUCUUGCCGAAAGGAGUUGUCCAAGGUUACAUAAUAAGGCCGCCUGACGAGAGCUCGCGCUUAGAACCCCUCCGCUGUUCUUGUGGAGAAGCAGUACUAACACCUCGGCGGUGUUCAUCAGAAGUAGCAAAAUGAUGUGGCUGGAAGGGCUGCCGAGUCAGUGACAUUGCAGAUGGAUGGCCACAGUCCAUGAUCUCAGCAGGAGCUCUCCACUUAUUCACUAUUAAGGAUGAUGUUAGCUGCAGGUUUUUCAUAGAUGCCUUUAACUGACCAAGGAAGUUCCCUCCCAUUUCUAGUUUGACUUCAAGAGGAAGGGCGUGCUAACUGUUCGCUGCCUAAAAGUAAUAGCAAGACGAUCUGUGUUUCUUUCUCUUCAUGUGCCUUUCUCUUGGCAGACAAAGACCACAAGUGGGCAGAGAGGCAGGCAGAGAGAGAGGAGGAAGCAGGCUCCCUGGCUGAGCAGAGAGCCCGACGCAGGGCUCGAUCCCAGGACCCCGGGAUCAUGACCUGAGCCGAAGGCAGAGGCCCCAACCCACUGAGCCACCCAGG